rnacentral:tRNA from 3 species
GGGCCAUUAGCUCAGGUGGUUAGAGCGCACCCCUGAUAAGGGUGAGGUCCCUGGUUCAAGUCCAGGAUGGCCCAUCA